rnacentral:rRNA from 1 species
GUGGGGAAUAUUGGGCAAUGGGGGCAACCCUGACCCAGCAACGCCGCGUGAAGGAAGAAGGCUUUCGGGUUGUAAACUUCUUUGACCAGGGACGAAACAAAUGACGGUACCUGGAAAACAAGCCACGGCUAACUACGUGCCAGCAGCCGCGGUAAUACGUAGGUGGCGAGCGUUGUCCGGAUUUACUGGGUGUAAAGGGCGCGUAGGCGGGAUGGCAAGUCAGAUGUGAAAUCUGAGGGCUUAACCCUCAAACUGCAUUUGAAACUGCUGUUCUUGAGUGAUGGAGAGGCAGGCGGAAUUCCUAGUGUAGCGGUGAAAUGCGUAGAUAUUAGGAGGAACACCGAUGGCGAAGGCAAUCCCCUGGGCCUGCACUGACGCUCAUGCACGAAAGCGUGGGGAGCAAACAGGAUUAGAUACCCUGGUAGUCC